rnacentral:rRNA from 1 species
UACGGGGGGGGCAAGCGUUGUUCGGAAUUACUGGGCGUAAAGGGUUUGUAGGUGGCCAACUAAGUCAGACGUGAAAUCCCUCAGCUUAACUGGGGAACUGCGUCUGAGACUGGAUGGCUUGAGUGCAGGAGAGGAACGCGGAAUUCCAGGUGUAGCGGUGAAAUGCGUAGAUAUCUGGAGGAACACCGGUGGCGAAGGCGGCGUUCUGGACUGCAACUGACACUGAAAAACGAAAGCCAGGGGAGCAAACAGG